GGCACAAAAUGAGCAACUCUCCUCAACUUAUACAGCGUGGUGAGUAUAUAACCCUUUAAAGACACUGUGUCUGUACAACUUUCUUGCAUCUCCCAGCUCAUGGCAAUCUUUGCUCUCCACUCCCACGUCCCCCACAGCAUUGGAGUGACAGGCUUACUCCCAUCCUAAGUUAGUGCAGAAGGAACAGCCGAUACUACUGUGACAUGGGCAAACUUCUGCUGGCGUGUGCACCCCAGCCACCCAGUAGCUUGCUCACUGGUGGCAUUAUCACGAUUUCUACUGCAAACCUUCAACCAAAGCCUCCUCCUCCCCUGCUACUUCCCACAGACAACUCUGAACAGGCUGUGGGCAGCACUACUUCCUUCUACCUGAGGGCAGAACACAUAUGGGAGGAAAGCAAAAUGGCAGGAUCCAGGAGAGGGAGCAACCAGAGCAAUGAGUACCCAGGGUAAAACCAGGAAAUGCCUACCCACAAGACCCACAGAAAAAGCAAUGGUGUGAUCUUAUUCUUCCUUAAAAUAACUUGCAAGUCUGUUGGUUUGUGGCAUUGCUGUUUAAUGGUACAGAGCAUUAUUACAGAAAAACAGCAUAAACCAAACAGUUUUCAUAAAGGAAAAAAAAGACAUCUUGGUUCAUUUGCUUUUUUCCUCCACUCCUGCGCUUCUAUCUCAAGGGUCACACAUCCUCCUACAUGGAAUGCCUGGAUGCAAGGCUUCACCAAGAAUUUUUCCUCUCUGAUGGCCAAUGGCACCAGGCAUUUCCCUAUCUCUUCUUCCAGGAGCAACAGCUGUUUAUUAUUCCUCAUGCCCACUCCCCAUGACCAAACAACUACACAGAAAACAGAAAAGCUGUUGAAGAAACGACACAGGUCAAUUGCUACACUAACAGAAUCAAGUCAAACUGAAAUAAAUGCAAACUGUAACUAAA